UACGUAGGGUGCAGGCGUUAAUCGGAAUUACUGGGCGUAAAGCGUGCGUAGGCGGCCUUCUAAGUCGGACGUGAAAGCCCCAGGCUUAACCUGGGAACUGCGUCCGAUACUGGAAGGCUUGGAUUCGGGAGAGGGAUGUGGAAUUCCAGGUGUAGCGGUGAAAUGCGUAGAUAUCUGGAGGAACACCGGUGGCGAAGGCGGCAUCCUGGACCGAGAUCGACGCUGAGGCGCGAAAGCUAGGGGAGCAAACGGG
rnacentral:rRNA from 1 species